UAAACUAACUAAAAGGAAUUAUACACAUGCUAUUGUACCAUAUGAAUUACACCAGAUUUUCACAAUAGUUAAAAUCAAAUGUGCUUAUACAUUCACUCUAGGCAAGUAGAAUUAGAAGGCAAAAUUAAUAGAGUUUCGAAUCAGAAAAUAGUACAUAAGCUUCAUGUCUUGUUUUCCAUUUCAUUCCUCAACUUCCAGGAUAAUCAACUGAGUUUACAUGAUCAAGUACCUGGAUAUGGCCACACAAAAGGUAAGUUUGAAUCGGAAGUACAGCAAAUGAUAAUCAGUAGCAGUAGACUUGAACCAACAACAAAGGAAUGGAACAUAAGUAGUGAUGAAAACAAAUAAAAUGAGAUUCAAGUCUCACUAUUGAAACCAGUUGAAGAGCAACAAUAGCAUGGAUCUCAAGUGUGACUUGAAAACCAAAUUUGACUCACUUUAACCCUUAAUAUCUAGAAAUUAACUUCAAAACUUGAUAAGAUCUUUCCGCAAUAAAAUUGACCUCAAACAUGAUUUCGAAAACUAAAAUCUAAGAUCUGAAAACUUUUGGAUCUUGAAAUUUACUGCCUAAAGAAUAGAUUUCAGAACUUCAGAUUCCAAACCUUGGAUUUCAAAAAAAAAAAAUUCUUCUAGAUUUGAAUUUCAAAUUUUCAGAUUUUUUUCCAAACUUGUAUUACAAGGCAGGGUUUGGGCCAAAUUCAGAAUUUUCUUUUACAUUCUAAGUCCCUCUUUAUUUUCAGUUUUGAACUAGUUAGCCCCUCAAAUCAUGCCUUGUUGGCCAAGUAACACUACCAAAUCCCUGAAAUUUAAACUAGAACCCCCUUCUAGAAGAUUCCAGGGGUUCCAAUUCAGUUACUGCACCAUUAUUUUUAUUAAAAUACUUAUACUACACAUGAACUAAUCCUAUAAUUACUAACCUAUAUCAAACUAACCUUAGCCCUUUUGAACUUGGUAAAAAAUGACCAUAGUUAAUCAAUAAAAGGUUGGAAACUAUUUACUUAUAAAUAAACAAAGCCUAAAUAUCAAAACCCCUAUAAUUGAACUACCAAAAUCUAAUUAGAACCAGAAUUAGAUCUAAUUAUCAAUUGCAGACUACUAAUAUGAACUAACUAAAAACUAAGAACAAAAUUAAUACAAAAUUAUGCUGCCAAUACCAAUCAAACAAAAAAAUUAAGAAUCAAGAAAAAGAAUAAAAACAGGAUCAUAUAGUACGAAUCCGAGAAAAAGAAACUGAUAAAACUUAACCAAAGAACCUAAAAUUGGCAAACAAAAAUUAAGGCACGAAUUUAAUUGAACAUGACAAAGAACUGAACAUGAAGGAAGCAUCAAUUUCAUUCAAAGAAGAUUUAUUAGGCAAGGAAAAAAAACAGGAGAAGAAUAACAAAAAAAUAAAGAGAAAUCAUGAAAAACUUACUGAUUUUGGCCCUAACUGGAUCGACUUCGAAUCUGGUCCCCAUAAGCCUUUGAACUGCCUUUGACAUAGAUCCUAGAUCUAAGAUUCGAGUAGUUCUGGGUGGAUUUGAAGGAAAUUAGUUUGAAAUAUGGAGAGAGCGGGUCAAGAUGAGUCUGUGGUGUAAGUUUGGUGGGGUUUUGAGGUAGCGCCGCUGGACCCGGCGGCGACGUCUACUGAUUCGAUUAUUCGAUGAGUUGGGGUGGGAUUUGAAGAAAACUAAGUGUGGAUAUGGAAUGGAAGGUGAAGGGGAAGGUAUGGUGUAAUUUUGGGAUAAUUUGGAGACUUUGCCGACGACUGAGGCGAUUUUCGGCUGGCGGCGGACGGCGGAGGACAUCGAAAUUAGAUUAGAGUUUAAAAUGGUCUCUGAGAUGGUGAGGGG
rnacentral:lncRNA from 1 species